CAGCAGCCGCGGGAAUACGAAGGGGGCUAGCGUUGUUCGGAUUUACUGGGCGUAAAGCGCACGUAGGCGGACUUUUAAGUCAGGGGUGAAAUCCCGGGGCUCAACCCCGGAACUGCCUUUGAUACUGGAAGUCUUGAGUAUGGUAGAGGUGAGUGGAAUUCCGAGUGUAGAGGUGAAAUUCGUAGAUAUUCGGAGGAACACCAGUGGCGAAGGCGGCUCACUGGACCAUUACUGACGCUGAGGUGCGAAAGCGUGGGGAGCAAACAGGAUUAGAUACCCCAGUAGUCCCUGUCUAUUAUAA
rnacentral:rRNA from 1 species